AUGGCUUCAGCUUACACCAUCAGCUGGUCUUUGUUCUGUUUUUCUUGGUUGAGUCUCAGUUUUUAUUUUAUUGGCAGGAUUUUGCUUACAUCAACUUCAGAGGUAUAUGGGGAUCCUCUUGAGCAUCCUCAACUUGAAACCUAUUGGGGAAAUGUUAACCCUAUUCGUACGUGUUUUUAUGUCAUUCUAACCUCUAUUCGGUCUUAA